UACGUAGGGUGCGAGCGUUGUCCGGAAUUACUGGGCGUAAAGGGCUCGUAGGCGGCCAACUAAGUCGGACGUGAAAUCCCUCGGCUUAACCGGGGAACUGCGUCCGAUACUGGAUGGCUCGAGUGUGGGAGAGGGAUGCGGAAUUCCAGGUGUAGCGGUGAAAUGCGUAGAUAUCUGGAGGAACACCGGUGGCGAAGGCGGCAUCCUGGACCACGACUGACGCUGAUGAGCGAAAGCCAGGGGAGCAAACGGG
rnacentral:rRNA from 1 species